rnacentral:rRNA from 1 species
AGAGUUUGAUCCUGGCUCAGAUUGAACGCUGGCGGCAUGCCUUACACAUGCAAGUCGAACGGCAGCGGGGACUUCGGUCCGCCGGCGAGUGGCGAACGGGUGAGUAAUGUAUCGGAACGUACCUUUCAGUGGGGGAUAACGUAGCGAAAGUUACGCUAAUACCGCAUAUUCUCUGAGGAGGAAAGCAGGGGACCUUCGGGCCUUGUGCUGAUGGAGCGGCCGAUAUCAGAUUAGCUAGUUGGUGAGGUAAAGGCUCACCAAGGCGACGAUCUGUAGCGGGUCUGAGAGGAUGAUCCGCCACACUGGGACUGAGACACGGCCCAGACUCCUACGGGAGGCAGCAGUGGGGAAUUUUGGACAAUGGGCGCAAGCCUGAUCCAGCCAUGCCGCGUGAGUGAAGAAGGCCUUCGGGUUGUAAAGCUCUUUCGGACGGGAAGAAAUUGGUGGGGCUAAUAUCCCCAUCGGAUGACGGUACCGUAAUAAGAAGUACCGGCUAACUACGUGCCAGCAGCCGCGGUAAUACGUAGGGUGCGAGCGUUAAUCGGAAUUACUGGGCGUAAAGCGUGCGCAGGCGGUUUAGUAAGACAGGCGUGAAAUCCCCGGGCUUAACCUGGGAACUGCGCUUGUGACUGCUAAGCUAGAGUACGGCAGAGGGGGGUGGAAUUCCACGUGUAGCAGUGAAAUGCGUAGAGAUGUGGAGGAACACCAAUGGCGAAGGCAGCCCCCUGGGUCGAUACUGACGCUCAUGCACGAAAGCGUGGGUAGCAAACAGGAUUAGAUACCCUGGUAGUCCACGCCCUAAACGAUGUCAACUAGGUGUUGGGUGGGUAAAACCAUUUAGUACCGGAGCUAACGCGUGAAGUUGACCGCCUGGGGAGUACGGCCGCAAGGUUAAAACUCAAAGGAAUUGACGG